rnacentral:rRNA from 1 species
GACGAACGCUGGCGGCGUGCUUAACACAUGCAAGUCGAACGGAGUGGCGAACGGGUGAGUAACACGUGGGUGACCUGCCCUGCACUUCGGGAUAAGCCUGGGAAACUGGGUCUAAUACCGGGUAGUGUGGGAUGGGCCCGCGGCCUUUCAGCUUGUUGGUGGGGUAAUGGCCUACCAAGGCGGCGGAGGGGAGCCGGCCUGGGAGGGGGGACGGCCACAAUGGGACUGAGGAACGGCCCAGACUCCUACGGGGGGCAGCAGUGGGGAAUAUUGCACAAUGGGCGGAAGCGUGAGGUAGCGACGUUGCGUGGGGGAUGACGGCCUUCGGGUUGUAAACUCCUUUCACCAUCGACGCGGUAGCUGGAGAAGAGGCACCGGCUAACUACGUGCCAGCCGCCGCGGUAAUAC